rnacentral:rRNA from 1 species
CCUUGUACACACCGCCCGUCAAGCCACCCGAGUUGGCAGCACCCGUAGUCGUAGUUCCAACCGCAAGGGGGAACGCGCCGAAGGUGAUGCUGGUGAGGGGGACU